GACGAACGCUGGCGGCGUGCUUAACACAUGCAAGUCGAACGGAAAGGCCCUGCUUUUGUGGUGUGCUCGAGUGGCGAACGGGUGAGUAACACGUGAGUAACCUGCCCUUGACUUUGGGAUAACUUCAGGAAACUGGGGCUAAUACCGGAUAGGAGCUCCUGCUGCAUGGUGGGGGUUGGAAAGUUUCGGCGGUUGGGGAUGGACUCGCGGCUUAUCAGCUUGUUGGUGGGGUAGUGGCUUACCAAGGCUUUGACGGGUAGCCGGCCUGAGAGGGUGACCGGCCACAUUGGGACUGAGAUACGGCCCAGACUCCUACGGGAGGCAGCAGUGGGGAAUAUUGCACAAUGGGCGGAAGCCUGAUGCAGCAACGCCGCGCGCGGGAUGACGGCCUUCGGGUUGUAAACCGCUUUCGCCUGUGACGAAGCGUGAGUGACGGUAAUGGGUAAAGAAGCACCGGCUAACUACGUG
rnacentral:rRNA from 1 species